rnacentral:rRNA from 1 species
AGUUUGAUCCUGGCUCAGGAUGAACGUUGGCGGCGUGCCUAAUACAUGCAAGUCGAACGAAGACUGUAGUAAUACUGUCUUAGUGGCGAACGGGUGAGUAACGCGUGGGUGACCUGCCCCGAAGUGUGGGAUAACAGUCCGAAAGGAUUGCUAAUACUGCAUAAUAUCCAAGAGAUUAGAUGCUUUUGGAUUAAAGGAGUAAUUCGCUUCGGGAGGGGCCCGCGUCCCAUCAGCUAGUUGGUAAGGUAAUGGCUUACCAAGGCGAUGACGGGUAGGGGACCUGAGAGGGUGGCCCCCCACAAUGGAACUGAAACACGGUCCAUACACCUACGGGUGGCAGCAGUAGGGAAUAUUAGUAAUGGGCGAAAGCCUGAACUAGCAACGCCGCGUGUGCGAAGAAGGCCUUCGGGUCGUAAAGCACUUUUUGAGAGGAUGAGGAAGGACGGUACUCUCAGAAUAAGUCUCGGCUAACUACGUGCCAGCAGCCGCGGUAACACGUAGGAGGCAAACGUUAUCCGGAUUUACUGGGCGUAAAGCGCGUGUAGGUGGUUUGGUAAGUAGGGCGUGAAAGCUCCUGGCUCAACUGGGAGAGGACGUUCUAAACUACCAAGCUUGAGGAUGGUAGAGGGAGGUGGAAUUCCGGGUGUAGCGGUGGAAUGCGCAGAUAUCCGGAGGAACACCAGUGGCGAAGGCGGCCUCCUGGACCACUCCUGACACUCAGACGCGAAAGCUAGGGUAGCAAACGGGAUUAGAGACCCCGGUAGUCCUAGCCCUAAACGAUGUAGACUUGGCGUCGGUGGUUUAAUCGCCAUCGGUGUCGUAGCUAACGCGAUAAGUCUACCGCCUGGGGACUACGGCCGCAAGGUUAAAACUCAAAGGAAUUGACGGGUCCCCGCACAAGCAGCGGAGCGUGUGGUUUAAUUCGAUGCUACACGAAGAACCUUACCUGGGUUUGACAUAGAGGUAGUAGGGAAGCGAAAGCGGACCGACCCUUCGGGGAGCCUCUACAGGUGUUGCAUGGCUGUCGUCAGCCCGUGUCGUGAGAUGUUGGGUUAAGUCCCGCAACGAGCGCAACCCUUGUCACUAGUUGCCAUCAUUUGGUUGGGCACUCUAGUGAGACUGCCGGUGACAAACCGGAGGAAGGUGGGGAUGACGUCAAGUCCUCAUGGCCCUUAUGGGUAGGGCUUCACACGUCAUACAAUGGUCGGUACAGAGGGUUGCCAAACCGCGAGGUGGAGCCAAUCCCUUAAAGCCGAUCGUAGUCCGGAUCGUAGUCUGCAACUCGACUACGUGAAGUCGGAAUCGCUAGUAAUCGCAGAUCAGCAUGCUGCGGUGAAUACGUUCCCGGGUCU